UCUGGGCUUCUCCAAGAUAACUAGGGUUUUCAAAUUUGAAAACAUUUGGUCUAAACUCUCGCGCCUGAGCUUCAUCUCCCUCCGCCAUUUCGCCCUUUCAUAUCACACUAAUCAUCUUCUCUGACAUUUGGUUCUUGAUUUUAUUCAAAUUUGAAUUCCUCUAAGCUUGAUUCAAGGAUAUUUUGAGGAGUAUUGAUUUAUGAUUUGAAGUGCAGCUGGUAAAUCAAUUCUCCGAUUAAAUCUCUCUCGCCGCAGUUGAUAGUCAUAAGCAACGGAUAAUCAAUCGGCUUGACGGGGCAGGGCAGCAUUCGGAUGCCUUUGAUUUCGCAACGGAAAGAAAUUUCUAUUUAAAUUAUAAAUCCUACUACAUAUUUCAGUAUGUUUUUACUACUUUGUCCCUCAACAUUUUAUGUAUCUUCAAAGUAUUGCCAUUAUAUACGGAAUAUUUAUACGGUAUAAACAGGUGUUCAAAUCUCAGCCACACAUUCUUCUUUCUGGGCUUCUCCAAGAUAACUAGGGUUUUCAAAUUUGAAAACAUUUGGUCUAAACUCUCGCGCCUGAGCUUCAUCUCCCUCCGCCAUUUCGCCCUUUCAUAUCACACUAAUCAUCUUCUCUGACAUUUGGUUCUUGAUUUUAUUCAAAUUUGAAUUCCUCUAAGCUUGAUUCAAGGAUAUUUUGAGGAGUAUUGAUUUAUGAUUUGAAGUGCAGCUGGUAAAUCAAUUCUCCGAUUAAAUCUCUCUCGCCGCAGUUGAUAGUCAUAAGCAACGGAUAAUCAAUCGGCUUGACGGGGCAGGGCAGCAUUCGGAUGCCUUUGAUUUCGCAACGGAAAGAAAUUUCUAUUUAAAUUAUAAAUCCUACUACAUAUUUCAGUAUGUUUUUACUACUUUGUCCCUCAACAUUUUAUGUAUCUUCAAAGUAUUGCCAUUAUAUACGGAAUAUUUAUACGGUAUAAACAGGUGUUCAAAUCUCAGCCACACAUUCUUCUUUCUGGGCUUCUCCAAGAUAACUAGGGUUUUCAAAUUUGAAAACAUUUGGUCUAAACUCUCGCGCCUGAGCUUCAUCUCCCUCCGCCAUUUCGCCCUUUCAUAUCACACUAAUCAUCUUCUCUGACAUUUGGUUCUUGAUUUUAUUCAAAUUUGAAUUCCUCUAAGCUUGAUUCAAGGAUAUUUUGAGGAGUAUUGAUUUAUGAUUUGAAGUGCAGCUGGUAAAUCAAUUCUCCGAUUAAAUCUCUCUCGCCACAGUUGAUAGUCAUAAGCAACGGAUAAUCAAUCGGCUUGACGGGGCAGGGCAGCAUUCGGAUGCCUUUGAUUUCGCAACGGAAAGAAAUUUUUUAGGUAAAAAUUCAGUCUUUCUAACAUGAGCUAUGCAUGCAGUGUCACAUAGAAAUCUAUCAGAAGCGAAUUGUGACGUUUGCGUGAUCCUGUGGGGAAGCCACAAGGUGUGAUGGGUUGGUGGCUUAUUCGAGCUGUUAAGAAUUGAUGGAUCAUGCAUAUAUCUUCAACAUAUUGACUGGUGAUUGAUGAUUCAGAAGACAAUUAAAUAGGUGUAGAGCAAUUCAAAUGUAGGAUAUAAACUUGCAGACUUAUUUCAUUUCUGUUUGACGAGUUAUAAAUGUGAUGUAGAGCUAACACCCAAAGUUGUUCCACAUCGGAUUUUGGACUUGCCAAUUUGUUAGGAUCUGAAAUAAGCCAUGUAACUACACAAGUGAUGUGUACAUUUGGAUAUGUUUCACCGGACUAUUUAAGUGCAGGGAUGCUAAACAAAGGGAGUGAUCUUCUUGCACAAAAAGAGGAAGCUGGGAAAAAUUUGAUUUCCAGUUAUUGCACUAGCAGAAUCCCUUGAUGCCGAAAUCAAAAGAUGGUCCACUGGGAAGGAGGGGAACUUGCGUGCAUUGCUCUCAACCCUGCAAUAUAUCCUUGGUCCUGGUAGUGAUUGGCAACCAAUAUCCCUGACAAAUAUUAUAAUGUCUGAUGCUGUAAAGAAAGCUUACUGAAAAGCCACUCUCCAUGCACAUCCAGACAAGUUGCAGCAGCGAGGGGCAAGCAUCCGGGAAAAGUACAUUUGCGAGAAGAGCUUUUUCGAGAAGCUGUUACUUUUUCCCAAAUGCAUCCCAAUCCAAUUUCAAUUUAUAAUUCAAAUUCUAAGUCUC